GACGAACGCUGGCGGCGUGCUUAACACAUGCAAGUCGAACGGGCCUGUCUUCUUUUUUGGGGGUGGGUUGAGUGGCGAACGGGUGAGUAUCACGUGAGUAACCUGCCCUUCGGUCCUGGAUAACCGCUUCAAAGGGCGGCUAAUACGGGGUGGUCCGGUUGGUCCGCAUGGGCUGGUCGGGAUAGAUUCACUGUUUUUGGUGUUUCGGCGGGGGAUGGGCUCGCGGCCUAUCAGCUUGUUGGUGGGGUGAUGGCCUACCAAGGCGGUGACGGGUAGCCGGCCUGAGAGGGUGGGCGGCCACACUGGGACUGAGAUACGGCCCAGACUCCUGCGGGAGGCAGCAGUGGGGGGUAUUGCACAAUGGGCGGAAGCCUGAUGCAGCGACGUCGCGUGAGGGAUGGAGGCCUUCGGGUUGUGAACCUCUGUUUCCGGUGGUGAAGGCCCUGUCCGUGUGGUGGGGUUGACGGUAGCCGGGGAUGAAGCGCCGGCUAACUACGUG
rnacentral:rRNA from 1 species